GUGGGUAUAGCUCAGUGGUUGAGUACCUGCUUCCUAUGUAUGAGGUCCUGGGUUCAACCCCCAGUACCUCCU
rnacentral:tRNA from 1 species